UGGCACGCGGAUGUAGUAUAAUAAGGGAACCGUGUUUUUUGCACAGCGCAAAUGGAACCGGUCGCACAGUGCAACGGAACAUGCAGGCUGCGGGCAGCCUGUGCGGCGGCGUGCCGUGAACCAUGUCAGGCGGGGAACCGAGCAGCAUUAAGCGGAUUUCGCCGGGCGCCGCAGGAUUUCGUCCGCGCCUGCAUGUUCGGGGGCACUGUGCGGCCAUGUGCCG
rnacentral:SRP_RNA from 2 species